rnacentral:lncRNA from 1 species
AUGGAGAGUUAAUUGUUGAGAAUUCUGUGUAGUUCAAUAGUAUCCUUAAUUUUUUUUAAGAUUUUAUUUAUUUAUUUGACAGAGACACAGUAAGAGAGGAAACACAAGCAUGGGAAAUAGGAGAGGGAGAAGCGAUGCAGGGCUCGAUCCCAGGACCUGGGAUCAUGACCUGAGCCGAAAGCAGAGGCUUAACGCACUGAGACAUCCAGGUAUACCAGUGUAUUUGAAAGAAUAUUGGCAUUAUGACUGAAAAGUUCAGAAACGGUGUUAUGUUUAAGAAUUCAUCAACUCCAGAUCAGAGUCUUGAGUGUUUUGUUGCUUGAAGAUACCUAGAAACGUAACAAGUCAAAAUAAAGUGAGUUCUGUUGGAAUUAUGAAAAAGAAUAAAAUCCCUGCCUGGAGUAAAACAUUUUUUUAAGAGUGGCUACUUCGCUGCUUCUGUGUGCAUUGUUAUUAAUUGCUCAGUAAAGUGGUUCCAUGUAAAAAUAUCAUGUAUAACUAUUACUCAUCUAUAUUUCACAGUUCAAU